rnacentral:rRNA from 1 species
CCUACGGGGGGCAGCAGUGAGGAAUAUUGGUCAAUGGGCGCAAGCCUGAACCAGCCAAGUCGCGUGAGGGAAGACGGCCCUACGGGUUGUAAACCUCUUUUGCCGGGGAGCAAGCCUGAGCACGUGUGCCCAGGCGGAGAGUACCCGGAGAAAAAGCAUCGGCUAACUCCGUGCCGGCAGCCGCGGUAAGACGGGGGUUGCGAGCUUUAUCCGGAUUUAUUGGGUUUAAGGGGUGCGCAGGCGGGCUGUUAAGCCGGCGGUAAAAAUUCAGGGCUCAACCCUGUCGGGCCGUCGGAACUGGCAGUCUUGAGUGGGCGAGAAGUAUGCGGAAUGCGUGGUGUAGCGGUGAAAUGCAUAGAUAUCGCGCAGAACUCCGAUUGCGAAGGCAGCGUACCGGCGCCAGACUGACGCUGAGGCACGAAAGCGUGGGGAUCGAACAGGAUUAGAUACCCUUGUAGUC